rnacentral:misc_RNA from 1 species
GGUAUUUUUCUUUUCAAAGAACAAUAAAAGAACUUAUCCAGAUGUCUUAAAAUAAUAAAAUAAUAAAAAUAUAGCCAUAAAGAUGAUAUUGUAAUCAUAAUGGUGAUGAUUUUCAUGCACUAAGAUUUUGCUUUGGUCCUUGGUUCUUCUUCUAUUGUCAGUAGAGAGCAGCCUUUCUCGGUUUCUUUUUCUUUGGUUUUCUUUCUUUCUUUCUUUUCCCUUUUGUUCUUUCUUCUUUCUUUCCAACUUGGACUGUUGUACAGUUAGUUCAGUUAAGAGCCCUUAGAAGUUUAGAACCUUAGGCAGGUCCCCCAAAAGAAAGGAAGGAAAAAGAGCAAACCAUAUAGAUGGUUUCUUGGCCUCUUCUUGAGAAAAACUUAUGGUAGGCUUCAAGUACUAUUGAUGAUGAUAAUGAUGUUGUCUGUAGGGUUUAUGUUUAUUCUCUAUUAUUUUUGCUCCUACCCAUGAUGAUCCUGGCUGUCAGAGUCUGGCCAGAAGGAGGAGUACUUCAACCAUUCAGCCUCUUGUGGGUUUGUAAUGGAUGACUCCUGCAACACGGAAAAGUGCAAUUCAUGUGAAAAAUAGGGUUAGGGUUUCAACAUGUAAUUUUCACUUAAGAACAACAAACCAAUGAAGUUGCGUCUUUUGUCCUUUUGAUUUCCUCCACAAUCAGACUGUCUGAAACUGUGUUUUCCUUGGGAGGACACGCAUGAUAAAAGUUUUCAUGCUGCUAUCAUCUACUUUUCAGGAAUAAAAUUAAUUUUGCAUAACUUCAUUUAUUAUGAAGAAAAAAAAAGGGUUUAUGGCAUUAUAGCAUCUAAUUCAGACAAUGCCUGUGGAAUUAAAGCUCCAACUUUGGUUUUACUAUUUUUAAUGUUGCGGAAAUAAAGAGGAAAAAAUAAAGAGAAAGAUUCCAAUUGUUUAAGUUCAAAGAUUGAUGGCUUGUGAUUUCACAUUGUGCUUUGCUAAAUUCUUGGGGUACCUUUUCUAUGAUCUAUAUAUCAAACUUAGGCCCUAACGAGGAGAAAUGCUUACAAUCUGCCUCGUAUGAACAAUUAAAAAUAGAUAAAGAAAACUUAAAGUAUGCAUGCAAAUAAGCAACCUAGUUACAGCCUAAUUUGUUUUCAUUUUCAAUAUGCAUUCUAUUUUGUAAUUUUUCAACAUCAUGCCUUCUUUUUCCAUUGAGCUAACAAAAAGAUACUCACAAGAUCUAUACAUAAUAGGUCUAUAUUUCUUUACUGAUAGUGUAUAAAUCAUAAUAAAAACUCCAAAUAAGACAUGGAAAUGGAAAAUAAAAAUAAAAGAGAAAAA